rnacentral:rRNA from 1 species
CCUACGGGAGGCAGCAGUAGGGAAUCUUCCGCAAUGGACGAAAGUCUGACGGAGCAACGCCGCGUGAGUGAUGAAGGUUUUCGGAUCGUAAAGCUCUGUUGUUAGGGAAGAACAAGUACCGUUCGAAUAGGGCGGUACCUUGACGGUACCUAACCAGAAAGCCACGGCUAACUACGUGCCAGCAGCCGCGGU